rnacentral:rRNA from 1 species
CUAUACAUGCAGUCGAGCGGACAGAUGGGAGCUUGCUCCCUGAUGUUAGCGGCGGACGGGUGAGUAACACGUGGGUAACCUGCCUGUAAGACUGGGAUAACUCCGGGAAACCGGGGCUAAUACCGGAUGGUUGUUUGAACCGCAUGGUUCAAACAUAAAAGGUGGCUUCGGCUACCACUUACAGAUGGACCCGCGGCGCAUUAGCUAGUUGGUGAGGUAACGGCUCACCAAGGCAACGAUGCGUAGCCGACCUGAGAGGGUGAUCGGCCACACUGGGACUGAGACACGGCCCAGACUCCUACGGGAGGCAGCAGUAGGGAAUCUUCCGCAAUGGACGAAAGUCUGACGGAGCAACGCCGCGUGAGUGAUGAAGGUUUUCGGAUCGUAAAGCUCUGUUGUUAGGGAAGAACAAGUACCGUUCGAAUAGGGCGGUACCUUGACGGUACCUAACCAGAAAGCCACGGCUAACUACGUGCCAGCAGCCGCGGUAAUACGUAGGUGGCAAGCGUUGUCCGGAAUUAUUGGGCGUAAAGGGCUCGCAGGCGGUUUCUUAAGUCUGAUGUGAAAGCCCCCGGCUCAACCGGGGAGGGUCAUUGGAAACUGGGGAACUUGAGUGCAGAAGAGGAGAGUGGAAUUCCACGUGUAGCGGUGAAAUGCGUAGAGAUGUGGAGGAACACCAGUGGCGAAGGCGACUCUCUGGUCUGUAACUGACGCUGAGGAGCGAAAGCGUGGGGAGCGAACAGGAUUAGAUACCCUGGUAGUCCACGCCGUAAACGAUGAGUGCUAAGUGUUAGGGGGUUUCCGCCCCUUAGUGCUGCAGCUAACGCAUUAAGCACUCCGCCUGGGGAGUACGGUCGCCAGAUGAAACCUCAAAGAAAUUGACGGGGGCCCGCACAACCGGGGGAGCAGGUGUUUUA